rnacentral:rRNA from 1 species
AUUGAACGCUGGCGGCAGGCCUAACACAUGCAAGUCGAGCGGGGUUUUCGGACCUAGCGGCGGACGGGUGAGUAAUGCGUAGGAAGCUGCCCGAUAGAGGGGGAUACCAGUUGGAAACGACUGUUAAUACCGCAUAAUGUCUACGGACCAAAGUGUGGGACCUUCGGGCCACAUGCUAUCGGAUGCGCCUACGUGGAAUUAGCUAGUUGGUGAGGUAAUGGCUCACCAAGGCGACGAUCUCUAGCUGGUUUGAGAGGAUGAUCAGCCACGCUGGAGCUGAGACACGGUCCAGACUCCUACGGGAGGCAGCAGUGGGGAAUAUUGGACAAUGGGCGCAAGCCUGAUCCAGCCAUGCCGCGUGUGUGAAGAGGGCCUUCGGGUUGUAAAGCACUUUCAGCGAGGAGGAAGGGUGGUGUGUUAAUAGCACAUCAUUUUGACGUUACUCGCAGAGGAAGCACCGGCUAACUCUGUGCCAGCCGCCGCCGUAAGAC